rnacentral:misc_RNA from 1 species
AAACUGUUAAUGUCCUAAAUAGAUGGACUUUGUUAUUUUAUCAUGAUUAUGCACGGUGAUUGUGUAAAUCAUUUAAUUCCGAAGUAGUUAUUCCACAAACAUUGGUGGCUCUUCUAUGACUAAUUAAAGCUCAUAGUUCAUUGCCAAUAAGGUUCAUAGCUUUUAGAUGAAUCUUUCAGGUUGUUUUCAUGCCCCCGUUUCUGUGUUCUGAAGGACAUG